UUUAGUGGGACCAGUGCCGGUCCGGAGUCUAUUGGCGCCUAAAGCGCAUCCAAAAAUUGUUGCCCUUAGUUAAAUCUAAUUUUUUUCUUUACAUUUUCAACACUAUUAAAAUUUCAAAUUUUAAAUAAAGUAUAUAAAUAUCAAUAAUUCUUUUUGAAUUUUUUUUUGUAAAGUUAUUCAUAAAUUUUGAAUAAUUAAGUGUUUUCAAUACUUUUAUGUUUGUUAAUUUUUUUUUUUGAACAACAGUUUGUUAAUAUUAUCGACAAUACGUUAGACAUACUAAUGUAUGAUUAUAAUCAUCUGUUGUUUUUUAAAAGAAUAACAUUUCAAUAUUUU
rnacentral:lncRNA from 1 species